ACCCUUUUAGCUCAAUGGUUGAACACUCGCUUUACAAGCGAUAGGUCGGUGGUUCGAACCCACUAGGGCA
rnacentral:tRNA from 1 species